CGGGGCGGCAGCCUACCAUGCAGUCGAGCGCACUCUUCGGAGUGAGCGGCGGACGGGUUAGUAACGCGUGGGAAUAUACCCUUCACUACGGAAUAGCCUCGGGAAACUGAGAGUAAUACCGUAUACGCCCUUCGGGGGAAAGAUUUAUCGGUGAAGGAUUAGCCCGCGUAAGAUUAGAUAGUUGGUGGGGUAAUGGCCUACCAAGUCUACGAUCUUUAGCUGGUUUGAGAGGAUGAUCAGCAACACUGGGACUGAGACACGGCCCAGACUCCUACGGGAGGCAGCAGUGGGGAAUCUUAGACAAUGGGCGCAAGCCUGAUCUAGCCAUGCCGCGUGAGUGACGAAGGCCUUAGGGUCGUAAAGCUCUUUCGCCAGAGAUGAUAAUGACAGUAUCUGGUAAAGAAACCCCGGCUAACUCCGUGCCAGCAGCCGCGGUAAC
rnacentral:rRNA from 1 species